rnacentral:rRNA from 1 species
AUUGAACGCUGGCGGAAUGCCUAACACAUGCAAGUCGAGCGGGGUGUAGCAAUACACCUAGCGGCGGACGGGUGAGGAACACACAGGAAUCUACCUUUUAGUGGGGAGUAGCCGGGAACCCGGGACUUAAUACCGCAUGAUCUCGCAAGAGCAAAGACGGGGGACCGGUAACGGCCUCGCGCUGAAAGAAUGAGCCUAUGUCGGAUUAGCUAGUUGGCGGGGUAAAAGGACCCACCAAGGCGACGAUCCGUAGCUGGUCUGAGAGGACGAUCAGCCACACCGGAACUGAGACACGGUCCGGACUCCUACGGGAGGCAGCAGUGGGGAAUAUUGGACAAUGGGCGCAAGCCUGAUCCAGCAAUUCCGCGUGUGUGAAGAAGGCCUUCGGUUGUAA